CCCGUUCCCAUACCGAACACGGAAGUUAAGCUUCUCAGCGCCGAUGGUAGUUGGGGGCUGUCCCCCUGUGAGAGUAGGACGUUGCCAGGC
rnacentral:rRNA from 1 species